rnacentral:rRNA from 1 species
UACGAAGGGGGCUAGCGUUGCUCGGAAUUACUGGGCGUAAAGCGCACGUAGGCGGCUUGUUAAGUCGGGGGUGAAAUCCUGGAGCUCAACUCCAGAACUGCCUUUGAUACUGAGAACCUUGAGUUCGGGAGAGGUGAGUGGAACUGCGAGUGUAGAGGUGAAAUUCGUAGAUAUCGGGAGGAACACCGGUGGCGAAGGCGGCCAUCUGGACGGAUACUGACGCUGAGACGCGAAAGCGUGGGUAGCAAACAGG